rnacentral:rRNA from 1 species
UACGUAGGGUGCAAGCGUUAAUCGGAAUUACUGGGCGUAAAGCGUGCGCAGGCGGUUAUGUAAGACAGGUGUGAAAUCCCCGGGCUUAACCUGGGAACUGCAUUUGUGACUGCAUAGCUAGAGUACGGUAGAGGGAGAUGGAAUUCCGCGUGUAGCAGUGAAAUGCGUAGAUAUGCGGAGGAACACCGAUGGCGAAGGCAAUCCCCUGGACCUGUACUGACGCUCAUGCACCGAAAGGCGUGGGGAGCAAACAG